rnacentral:rRNA from 1 species
UGUUUCGGCUAGGGGGCCAUCCCGGCUUACCAACCCGAUGCAAACUGCGAAUACCGGAGAAUGUUAUCACGGGAGACACACGGCGGGUGCUAACGUCCGUCGUGAAGAGGGAAACAACCCAGACCGCCAGCUAAGGUCCCAAAGUCAUGGUUAAGUGGGAAACGAUGUGGGAAGGCCCAGACAGCCAGGAUGUUGGCUUAGAAGCAGCCAUCAUUUAAAGAAAGCGUAAUAGCUCACUGGUCGAGUCGGCCUGCGCGGAAGAUGUAACGGGGCUAAACCAUGCACCGAAGCUGCGGCAGCGACACUAUGUGUUGUUGGGUAGGGGAGCGUUCUGUAAGCCUGUGAAGGUGUGUCGUGAGGC